rnacentral:rRNA from 1 species
CCGGAAGACGGGGACGGAGAACCCGCGCCCGGUCCGCGGGUGCGAGGCGUUUACAGCCUCGGAUUUCGAGAGUGGGCCUUCUGGUGUAUUUUCGUACGGUUAGUCAACAUCGGUUUUGAAUGUCAUAAAAUGACUGGAGGAAUGUGGCUUCGAUCUCGUAUUGAAGUGUUAUAGCCUUUGGUAGAUGUGAUGUUUGAGACCGAGGAUUGCAACGGAUACCCUUCUGGGCUAUUCGUCUGAUCUCUGAAACGUUGCCUUGAUGUCGAAAGCUUGCUUAUGAUGUUAGGGUAUUACGGUCAAAAGGUUAGAACGGAUUAAAUUCGUUAAGUGGAUGACGUAAACUACCCUAACAUCAUAAGCAGCUUUCAACAUCGGGGGCGACUUUAAAUAGAUACAAAAGACCAGAACGGGAUGGCUUGUCCUUCUGCGGUCCUCGAUCUCAAACCUCAGAGCAUCAAAAUGCUAUCAGAGUUCGCCACCACCUCCCCCCCCUCUUUCCUCCUGUCACUUAAUGACGAUCAGAACCGAUAUUGACCAAUCAUACGACAUGGUACACCAGAGGAGUCUAAUCUUUUAUAUCCGAAGGCCUUCACCACUCUCGAAACCCACUAGUCCAAACUCAUCAGUCUUAUCUCUUUUAAAAAAUGACAGACUUCAUCGUUUCCGUAUCGAA